ensembl:lncRNA
CGUAAUUGCUCUGUUUGGGCUUGUGUUUCAGUCACAAUGUAUUGUGGAUAUAUAGUGGAUCUAUAGCACUAUACUUGAGCAACCAGCACUGGGUGUAUAGUUAUGUCACAUGGCAAAGGACCAUGUGAAGUUCACUAUAGCUUUUGAUCAAUAUGAGUUUCCCAGAGUCAGAAACUACCUGAAAUAUACUAUCCCCUAUUCAUAUAUUCCUGGGUGAAUUUCCUAAGACUAGAAUCUUGUAUUUAAUAUCCUUCAUAAUGGAAAAUUUCAGUCUCUUCCUUGUUUCACAAAUUUGUACUGUUUCUGACAGAUACUGAUGCAGUCAUAGAAGAAAAUGGUCCCAUCCUCCAGGUUGCUCCUCACACAUAUCCAUUAGAAACACAUAAUAAAAGAGAGAGAUAGAUUUGCCUUCCAGCCUAAGGCUCCAUGGGCAAUUAUUUUCUUUCAACGCCUUCAUUGAAAUUCCUUGUGUAAUGCUACCAGAGUGAAUUAUAGUUGAACCUUUUAUCUGCACAUAUGGAGCUGAGCUAAAGAGAUGGUGCCAGUAAUAUUACUCAGCUAUUUUCACUUUGGGGACUAAGGCCGAUGUAAACCAUCAUAACUAGAGAGAAAAUAAUAUUCAAGGAUGAAUCACUGCCAGAUGUGUGAAUGUAUGUCUUCAGAUUUCAUUUUUCUGGAACAUGCUUACUGUAGUAUAUUCCUUAUCCCUUUUUUAAGUGAUUCUCUUUCUAUGGGGAAUGGAUUUAAUUGCAUUAAAUGUUCAGAAGAUCCAAAAAUUAAUAAAAUGUGUAUUUGGACUCCAUCUCACAAUCCAAGAAAGAAAUCAGAAAUUGUUCUAAAGUGAAUGCUAUGCAACAAUCUUCUGUAACCCAAGUCCCAGAGGAGCUGUGAGGGGGACCUCACUGGGCAUCGUCCCAUGCCUCACUUGCCUGGGGCAAACCAUUCAGAUUUAUGCCAAUGUAACGGAGACAGAGGGUAAAGUAAAACAGGACGUAAUAAUUGUUAGGAAAAAAAAUUGCAGUCUGAGUAAAAAUGGAGGGGUAUCUGAUAUGUGUGGUGUUGAGAUCCUGGAUCAUAACUCUUGUGUUAUAUACAGGCUGCUGGAUUGUUUGGUAUCCAAAUGAGGUCGCUGGAAGAUGAUCAUAUUUCUGCAGAUUGGUGUUCCUGAAAAUUCCUAAUCUAUAGCCUGAGGAAGUGCCGGAGGAGUAGAUGAAGACUAGUGAGCCGAGUUUAAGAACGCUCAAGAAGAAACCAAGACCAGAUCUCUUUAUGUCUUUAAUAUUUUCCAGCGGCGAUGGAAUCACAUGAAAAAGAAAUAGGUGUUACUAGUAAUUUUGUAUUAGUGGUGAUCAUAGAGUACUGAAGGAAAAAAAAUCCUGCACAAAAUAUUACUCUGUGAGUCAUGCAAAUUGGAUUUAUGUUGUAAGAGAGCAAAUAGUGCCCCAAAGAAUCUGUAAAUAGAAAAAAAAGAGUCUUGUUUUUGAAUUGACCAUUUCUAAAGCUGUUGUUUGACGCCCUAAUUCAUUCUCAGAGAUUGUUUUUGAGGCUUUCACAUAGUAGGCACUCAAUAAUUAUAUGUUGAAAGACUUCUGAUUGAAGACAGGAAUUGUAUCCAUUUUUAUAUGAAAAAAUCAGGUUUAACUUGAAUCUUAG